AUUAUUUGAACUGUGACACGAGGAUUUUCAGUCCUCUGCUNUACCAGCUGAG
rnacentral:tRNA from 1 species